AGAGUCUCAAAAAAAUGUAGUAAACACACAUUGCAGAGGUGAAGGAGCGAGCCAUGAGGAUACCAGAGGGAAGAGCACAGCACGCAGAGUACAUGGCAAAGACCCGGUGACCUUUGGGCCACAGAGUUGCUGAUGUGAGAAAGCCCCCUUCUUCUGGAGAGCUGUGGCCCCCGGCGAUCAAGCACUUCCCAGCAGAGCCACACAGACCCAGUUCCCAUGUAUCAGGCUGCUGAUGAAAGUGUUUCCAGCAAAGUCCACGAGAUUCUUUGAAAGGCCUUUGAGUAUCUAUUCUACCUGGGCAAGCUCACCAAUAACCAGCAGCUUUAAUUACAACUGAUUCUGCACCCUGAGCCCUGAUCUCACACCUGUUCUUCAGACUCAUAUAUCCAACUGUCUUCUUACCAUCUCCAUUGAACUAUCUUCUGGAAGGACCUCAAAUAUAUAAAUUCAAUCACUGAGCCCAUAACUCCUGUGUUUAGUGAAUGGCAUAGUUAUCCAUUUAGUCACCAAAGCAAGAGACACUGAAACAAAGACCUAGAGGACCAUUUGUUCAACUUCUCACAGACAAUAGGAGCAGAGCUGGGCUGUAAUCCCAGGUUCACUAGACUCAAGUCCAUUUCAACCAUGACCCUGAGCCCAGAAUCGUGACAAAUGGUGAUCUCUGUUCCUCUGAGGGUGGAGACCAAGUCUAGUUUGAAAUGGGGGAGAAUAGUAAAGGACAUAAAGGACUCCCCAGCACCUCCUCUUCUUUAGUG